rnacentral:rRNA from 1 species
GACGAACGCUGGCGGCGUGCUUAACACAUGCAAGUCGAACGGUGAAGCGCCUUCCUUUUUGGUGGGUGUGGAUGAGUGGCGAACGGGUGAGUAACACGUGAGUAACCUGCCCCCUUCUUCUGGAUAACCGCAUGAAAGUGUGGCUAAUACGGGAUAUUCUGGGUCUGUCGCAUGAUGGGUCUGGGAAAGAUAUUGUUUCGGUGGGGGAUGGGCUCGCGGCCUAUCAGCUUGUUGGUGGGGUGAUGGCCUACCAAGGCGGUGACGGGUAGCCGGCCUGAGAGGGUGGACGGUCACACUGGGACUGAGACACGGCCCAGACUCCUACGGGAGGCAGCAGUGGGGAAUAUUGCACAAUGGGCGCAAGCCUGAUGCAGCGACGCCGCGGGAGGGAUGGAGGCCUUCGGGUUGUGAACCUCUUUCGCCAGUGAAGCAGGCCUGCCUCGUUUGUGGAUGGGUUGACGGUAGCUGGAUAAGAAGCGCCGGCUAACUACGUG